GGAAAAACUGAGGGGAGAUCUUUCCGCAAGGCCGAGUCUCAUUAGCUCUCCUCCUUGCUAAAGUGCAGAACGUAGCACAGCAAAAAACAGACUGGAAGCUGUGAUCCUGCAGCUGCAUGACUCUGGAGACAGCGCUGUUUUCCAAAGGGUGUUCGAACAUAAUGAGCACUGAACAACAAGCACAGCCAUGGAAGUGAGGAGAAGGGCUGGCAGGGUGCAGGAAGGCUAUAACAGGACGUGACUCUGCUACAGGACAGGCAUCCAGCCGUGCUGUGUGUUCUGCUGCUGACCGUGACCCCCUGCUGAGCUUGUUCACAAAGCCCUUACAGCUGUGGUGCUCCUGGGUUGUACUUACAGAGGUCCUUGUUGCUCCCAGCUUAGGGGAGAGGAGAAGACCAACACUGACAAUGCUGGUGAAACAGCACCUGACAGAGCUCAAUUAAUUUCUACAGUGAUUGAUCCCUAUGCCAACAACAUCAUACAGGACAGAGGUUUCGAGUGCCAGUUGUUUUAGAGAUACCGCAGUGGGAUGGAGAGGUUGGACAGACAGAACCACACUCCUGAAUGUAUCUGCUGGAAAAUCCUUAAGGAAAAGGCUGCACUUUGCUUGAAUGCACCUUCCUGUGGAUAGCAGAUCCCAGUGAAGGAGGAUGAGGCUCUGCCGCUGCCUGCUGCUCCUUACGGAGGAUCCUCUCCACUGUGGACACACAAGCCCUAAUUACCUGUGGAAUGUGGGUGAACAGCAAUCUCAGAGAAGGCAGGGAAUCUAGAUACUGGAUCAUGCCCUCGCUGCAGUUUAGAAUACCUAUCCAAAAUGGGUAUGGGUGGAAGGAAGAGAAAGAACCAGAAAGGUUCUCUCUGUCUAAGCAAGCCUGUCCCAUUGUGGCAUACAGCUCUGCAGACAGUUUUCUUCCCCUCCAGCGCUGCAGCUCGGCUUAUCGAACUCCCAUUAACUAAAGGUCGCUGCUGUCCCUCUGUGUUGCCAUGAUUAAAUUCUCCCUCUGCUGAACC
rnacentral:lncRNA from 7 species